UAUUGAGAUAUGAAAAAAAUGCAUUUAUUCAGAUAAAUAUUUACAUAUGAAAGUAUACAAAAUGAGACAAUGCGAGACCCUUUCAAAAGAGCAUUUAACAGAAUGCAAAACAAAUGGAUGAAUGGUUUCUCACUCACAAAAAGGAAACAAAACGACAGUGUAAUAAUGGAACAAUGGUGUGUGUGUGGGCGGGCGUGCGUAUGUCACAUAUAUGCUAUGCCAUUCUGUAUUCUAAGUGCAAGUUGCGUCUCCACUAUGUUAUUAUGCUCGCUAUGUGUCUAUAACUAUAUUCUUCAGUGGUAUAACGUUACUAUCUUGGCUCUGUAGCUUGUCUUUAAUCCUUCUGACAGGUAGCUCCACCCGGAGUCGCUUCCAGAACCUAGAGGACAGAUCGCUGGAUUUGUCCCCUUGCCAUCGGACCAACGCCAGGGCUACUCUCGCUCGCCUCAGUUCGCGCACCCAGCCGUCCCGCCUCAAGGGCUUAUACUGGACCAGGAUGACCCGCAGAUGUCCACCCCACGCCAUGCUGUCUAGCCCUGCCUUGAGCUCCAGCAGGGCCUGGGUCCCCUGGAGGCCGUAUCCUGGGCUGAGCACCACCAGGACGCGGCGACUGCGGCCCACAAAGGAAGGCUGUCCCUGUCGAAGAUGCAGACGGUAUAGCCCAGCUCAUUCUCCAGGACCCUGCGGAGUGUGAAGAGCACAAAUUGCUCCUCCUCGCUAUUCCUCGCGUACGAGAUGUAGAUGUCAUACUCCUUGUCGUCUGAAUGAGGGAGAAGGCAGAAACAUAGUAAGAAGAAGAAAAAAAAUAUUUCAGAGAUGUCAUUAUUAGGGUCAGGAGCUACACUUUCUUGGCCAGGUCAAGUGGUCAGGAAAAACGAAUGGCCCUAGUCGGUUAUUCUUAGCAAGGUCUGUCUGUACAGUCGGUGUCCCACCUGUACAGCGUUCGUCGGUUCCAAACCAGGAGCGAUAGAGCAGCAGCAGCUCCAGCCAGAAGAUGUGGUAGACCACGAACAGCACCAGCAUCAGGAACAGAGUCACGCCCAGGCCACAGCCCAGCUCCACGGAUGGCAGGUACUGGUUACCUUCAGACGAGUCCCAUGACACAAUCUCAGCUUUCCACAGUGCAGGCCCAUUCAUUUGUAGCCCGAACGGUUCGGACACUACCAAACAGAAGUUGGCAAAUAGACGGUGCCAACUACCAACUUCAGAUAUCUGUAGCUUAAACUGACGGAUUUUUUAUGGGAAUUGUUUUAUUAUGUAACUUUUAUUAUGCACCUUUCACACGAGUGAUUGCAGCCCAAUGUGCUUCACAAGUUAUUGCUUGAAAUAAUAAAACACUAAAGCAUGUAGCAUGUAAAAAUAAAACAAAACAGAGCAAGAUAUAAAACAAUGGUAUACAAAUAAUACUAAAAGGAAACAAUGAGAAUUUAUCAAAUGUAAAAGCAUUAAAACAGAAUAUUGAUAUUGAUUUUUUUUAAGAAUGUUACACUAAACAGUCCAAACCUCUGCUACUUACCCUCUGCAGAGAUGAAGUUUUAUUUUAAAUUCUAUCAUGGAAAUGAUCGGUGGUGGAAAUUCAAAUAAUGAGGAGAGGCAAAGCCAAUAAUCAAUCAACAUUUUACUUUUAUUAAAAACGUAUUAUAACGAGGAGGCUGGUCGCACCCCCCAUGCAGGUGAAAUGGAGUGAGAGCCCCCUGUACAAAAAGUACAGGAGCAUUUAUAUAGUCAAACUACCCCAUGCAAGCAUCUGCAAAACACGUGACCCUGUGUAUGUGUGUGUGUGUGUGUGUGUGUGUGUGUGUGUGUGUGUGUGUGUGUGUGUGUGUGUGUGUGUGUGUGUGUGUGUGAGAGGAGACAACUGGGUGAAAAGGUUGCCUCAGUCUGUUACAACUGAGUGAGAACAAUAGGGGCCAGAAUGACAGGAAGUCACUCCAGACAUACUUCCUCUAACAAUAGCUCAACGGUUACCCCAAUUUGGGCAAGCAAGUGCCUUUGACUUUCGGCCCAGAUUAUGUAUGGUCGUACUGGUCACACACAAAACAUGAAUCUUUCGCCCCGAAACGGGCUCCAAACAGAACAAUAGCUAUAUCAUUGGUGUGCAGGAUAUAACAUUUAACUCUGUCUCCAGUUAACUUAAGAGGAGCCAGUCAGUUUCUGUCAAGUCUUGGCUGAGUGCCCAGACAUCACGGGUUCAUUCUACACACACAGAACAGUUAGAACAGGCCUCUAUUAAGGCGCGCACACACACUUUUCUAUCUAUAUGACUUUGUUAAAAGAAACUAACUCAAGCCCAAUGCCUAGGCUUAAAGACAGAUAUUUUAGUACAAAAGCAUUAGUAACGUUUAACAGAAAACGUCCUCACGGAUCACACAACAGUCCACAAGAUCAACCGCGGAGCACUAGCGACACACCACUUUCCCCAUCGUGACUAAUACGAUAUCCAGCACAUUUCCACACAAAUGAUCAACAAAUGUCAUAUUGUAAAUGUCACAUGCUAUGCUCUUUGGUGUUUUAAAUCAUUCCUCACCCUCCUCUUCGAGCACUGCCCUGCGGGUCGCUACACCUCGGCCGUUGCGUCCGGAGCAGUUGUAUUCUCUGGUCAGGUCCUCUGAGCUGAAGUCCUGGAUACGGAGCACAUUCUCAACUGUCCAGUCCUCAAAAUAAUUCAACACCACCCUGUAGGAUAGAGAGAUGAGGGGAGGGAAGGGAAAAAUUGGACAGAGGUAACAGAAGAAUGAGAGGAGAGGAUAGAUAGAAACAAACAAAAAUAACGGUAUAAAAGAAUAGAGAAGAAUAGAAAUGAGAAGAUAAAGUAACAGAAGAGGAUGAGACUUACCUAGAAGUGAAUGAGAUGCGGGGAUCAGCUAGCUGAUCUACAGUCUUCCCAUCGAUGGUCCACCAGGUCUCCCUGGGUCCUUCCAGGUAGGGCAAUGACACCCUGCAUGUGAGAUCCACCUCUGACCCUGCAACAGUCACCACGGCGAUCAAUUCUGCUGCAUUACCAUGGGAACUGUCUACUGUGCUACCAUGACAAUAUCACCCAAUCUCAUCAACUCACAAAAAAAUGCAAGUAGCAUUCUGUGAAAUGGUAUUGAUUGUACUCGAUUGCCAGUAAUCAAAUAAAUGUGGAACUGUCAGUUUGGUCUGCACCCUGUGAUGGGAAAUAUUAUUAUUGGCACAAUCAAAGAACAGCUAAACGGGUACAACACUCUACACUAACUGGUGCAACAAAUAUAACCUAAAACAAAGCACACUGGGAAAUAUGUUAAAUGAGGCCCAGAAGUCACAAGACCAUUUAUUUUAUUUUAUUUAUUUAACCUUUAUUUAACCAGGAAGGGCUCAUUGAGAUUUAAAAUC